rnacentral:rRNA from 1 species
AGUGAACGCUGGCGGUAGGCCUAACACAUGCAAGUCGAACGGCAGCACAGUAAGAGCUUGCUCUUACGGGUGGCGAGUGGCGGACGGGUGAGGAAUACAUCGGAAUCUACUUUUUCGUGGGGGAUAACGUAGGGAAACUUACGCUAAUACCGCAUACGACCUACGGGUGAAAGCAGGGGAUCUUCGGACCUUGCGCGAUUGAAUGAGACGAUGUCGGAUUAGCUAGUUGGCGGGGUAAAGGCCCACCAAGGCGACGAUCCGUAGCUGGUCUGAGAGGAUGAUCAGCCACACUGGAACUGAGACACGGUCCAGACUCCUACGGGAGGCAGCAGUGGGGAAUAUUGGACAAAGGGCGAAAGCCUGACCCAGCCAUACCGCGUGGGUGAAGAAGGCCUUCGGGUUGUAAAGCCCUUUUGUUGGGAAAGAAAAGCAGCAGGUUAAUACCCCGCUGUUCUGACGGUACCCAAAGAAUAAGCAACGGCUAACUUCGUG